AGCAGGUCACUUCACCUCUCCCUAUCUUUCUCUGUAAAACCCAGAUAAUACUACUUCCAGAAGAAAGAAAGGGUUUUCUUUAAGCCCUUUGAGCUUCAGAUGGAGGCACCACAGCCCUGCCCGGGGCCCGCGCCGGCCACCAUGUGAUUAGGUAAUGUGAGACGCGGCUCAUUAUGCUUUGUCUGCAAUGAAUGCGGCCCGGCCACAAAGCGCUGGAACUUUCGGUUACAUUGAAACCCCCGCGGUAAGCGGGGAUUGCCUUACACUCCAAUAAAGCACACCAGAAAAGAGCAGUCAUUUGGACUAACCCGGUCCUCAAUGAACACUCGCAUUUGAUUUCUUCUGCUGAGUAGAAGACGGACCUCUGAAGCCUUCCUGAUGACGCCUUGGGCAGGGCUCACUCAGCUUGACAAACUUUGACCCGGAACCCUCUGAUCCCAUUUUGAUGAAUGAAGUCAAAACCCCAGUGGGUUCACUCAUCUGGCUGCUAUAGCACAGCCAGUCAAAGAUCUCAGUACCCAUCUGGAUACUUCAUUAGGGUCCUAAGACAUCUGGGGACCAGCGAUGGAAGAAACGUGCUUGUGUCGGGCGCCUAUCACACGCCCGCACUGUGCUGAGCCCUUUCCAAUAUGGUAUCUCGGAUAGUCCCCCACCAAAAAAAAAAAAAAGAAAAGAAAAGAAAAGAAAAGAAAACCUGCCAGAGUGGAAUUAUCAUUUCCAUUUUAUGAGUGAGGAAACAGGCACAGAGAGGCUGAGUGACCUACCCAAGGUCACACAGGUGGGAAAUAGCAGUUCCUGAAUUUGAACCAAGAUGAUGACAUUGUCAAGGGGCAGUUUGGGAGGUUUUCAUUGCGGCCCCAACUCCGGCAGCAACGUCCUUCUUCAUGACAUCCCCCUCCCCCAAAUAAAUACACAGUCUGAGUAAGAAGAAUAUGCAGGGGACACGAUGACACUUUCGGGGUUCCCCUGCCUCCUCCCUUUCACGGAGAUGGCUGCCCCAAGCCCCUCUGCACAGACACCCUGGAGUCCCCACUAAAUCAAGAUCCGUCUGACUCUGAAGGACAGGUCCUCCCAAUACAACCGGAUGUCAGUUCUCUUCGAUUCCUACCAAGAAGACCUUUGCUUUCUUAAAACCUUUACGUAGAAGAGCCAGUCGGUCAGUGUAGGAUUCCCCUAACGGAGACCCGAACCACAGAUUCCAGAAUUUCACCAGCCUACCCAAGGUCACCAGCCCAUGAAAUGCCCCACACUUCUCAGGGAACAGUGAUGCAUCGCAUCCUGGCGGGGAGCACGGGCGUGAAGAAGCACAGCAUUAGUGAUGUAGAUUAGAGUUUCAACUUAUGUUGAAGCAUCUGCUGGCCAAGGUCCAGUUCAUUUUGGGUUCCAGCUAAAUUUAUUCGGCCUCAGGCGCCUGGGUGGCUCAGUCGGCUGAGCAUCUGACUUCAGCUCUGGUCGUGAUCUCCACGGUCCGUGGGUUCCAGCCCCGCAUCGGGCUCUGUGCUGACAGCUCGGA